GACGUAGGGCGCGAGCGUUGUCCGGAUUUAUUGGGCGUAAAGAGCUCGUAGGCGGUUUGUCGCGUCUGCUGUGAAAACCUAAGGCUCAACCUUGGGCUUGCAGUGGGUACGGGCAGACUAGAGUGCGGUAGGGGUGACUGGAAUUCCUGGUGUAGCGGUGGAAUGCGCAGAUAUCAGGAGGAACACCGAUGGCGAAGGCAGGUCACUGGGCCGCAACUGACGCUGAGGAGCGAAAGCAUGGGGAGCGAACAGG
rnacentral:rRNA from 1 species